UGGGGAAUAUUGCACAAUGGGCGGAAGCUUGAUGCAGCGACCCGCUGGGGGAUGAAGGCCUUCGGGUUGUAAACUCCUUUCGACAGGGACGAAGCUUUUGUGACGGUACCUGUAUAAGAAGCACCGGCUAACUACGUGCCAGCAGCCGCGGUAAUACGUAGGGUGCGAGCGUUGUCCGGAAUUACUGGCCGUAAAGAGCUCGUAGGUGGUUUGUCGCGUCGUCUGUGAAAUUCCGGGGCUUAACUCCGGGCGUGCAGGCGAUACGGGCUGACUUGAGUGCUGUAGGGGAGACUGGAAUUCCUGGUGUAGCGGUGAAAUGCGCAGAUAUCAGGAGGAACACGGAUGGCGAAGGCAGGUCUCUGGGCAGUAACUGACGCUGAGGAGCGAAAGCAUGGGUAGCGAACAGGAUUAGAUACCCUGGUAGUCCAUGCCGUAAACGGUGGGCGCUAGGUGUAGGGGGCUUCCACGUCUUCUGUGCCGUAGCUAACGCAUUAAGCGCCCCGCCUGGGGAGUACGGCCGCAAGNNUA
rnacentral:rRNA from 1 species